rnacentral:rRNA from 1 species
ACUUGCUAUCAGAGUAGGACUAAGCCAUGCGAGUCAACGCCGCAAGGCGUGGCAUACGGCUCAGUAACACGUAGUCAACAUGCCCAAAGGACGUGGAUAACCUCGGGAAACUGAGGAUAAACCGCGAUAGGCCAAGGUUUCUGGAAUGAGCCCUGGCCGAAAUCUAUAUGGCCUUUGGAUUGGACUGCGGCCGAUCAGGCUGUUGGUGAGGUAAUGGCCCACCAAACCUGUAACCGGUACGGGCUCUGAGAGGAGGAGCCCGGAGAUGGGCACUGAGACAAGGGCCCAGGCCCUAUGGGGCGCAGCAGGCGCGAAAUCUCUGCAAUAGGCGAAAGCUUGACAGGGUUACUCUGAGUGAUUCCCGCUAAAGGGGAUCUUUUGGCACCUUUAAA